GGCUUGCGCAGAGGAGAAUUCAGCCUAGAAUUAGGGCAAAGGUCCACAGGGUCCAAGCUUUAGUUGACUGAAGUCAGGAGGGUCAACAUCAUUCCGUCCUCCCCCUGAGUGGGGGCCUGAGUUCCUGCAGA